AUAAUAUAAGAUUUGACCUGCCCGCUGAUUAAUUGAAUGGCCGCGGUAUUUUGACCGUGCAAAGGUAGCAUAAUAAUUAGUUUUUUGAUUGAAAGCUGGAAUGAAUGGUUGGACGAGAAAAUUACUGUCUCUUAUUAAUUUUAUUUAAAAUUUUAUUUUUAAGUUAAAAAGCUUAGAUUUAGUUAAAAGACGAGAAGACCCUAUAGAGUUUUAUAUUUUCAUAUAAAUGUAGUUAAGGAAUUUAAUUUUUGUUUUUUUGAAAUUAUUUUGUUGGGGUGACAGAAAGAUUUAAUUAACUCUUUUUUGGUUAAACAUUAAUCUAUGAUUAUUUGAUCCAAUUUUUUUGAUUAUAAGAUUAAAUUACCUUAGGGAUAACAGCGUAAUCUUUUUUGAGAGUUCUUAUCGAAAUAAGGGAUUGCGACCUCGAUGUUGGAUUAAAGUUAAUUUUUGGUGUAGGAGCUUGAAAAUUGAGUCUGUUCGACUUUUAAAACUUUACAUGAUCUGAGUUUAAACCGGUGUGAGCCAGGUUGGUUUCUAUCUUUAGUUAAUUAAAAUAUUUUAGUACGAAAGGACCAA
rnacentral:rRNA from 1 species